rnacentral:rRNA from 1 species
GACGAACGCUGGCGGCGUGCUUAACACAUGCAAGUCGAACGAUGAAGCCAGCUUGCUGGUGGAUUAGUGGCGAACGGGUGAGUAACACGUGGGUGAUCUGCCCCAAACUUUGGGAUAAGCCUGGGAAACUGGGUCUAAUACCGAAUAUGACCGAUACUCGCAUGGGUGUUGGUGGAAAGCUCCGGCGGUUUGGGAUGGGCCCCCGGCCUAUCAGCUUGUUGGUGGGGUAAUGGCCUACCAAGGCGACGACGGGUAGCCGGCCUGAGAGGGCGACCGGCCACACUGGGACUGAGACACGGCCCAGACUCCUACGGGAGGCAGCAGUGGGGAAUAUUGCACAAUGGGCGCAAGCCUGAUGCAGCGACGCCGCGUGAGGGAUGACGGCCUUCGGGUUGUAAACCUCUUUCACCAGGGACGAAGCGAAAGUGACGGUACCUGGAGAAGAAGCACCGGCCAACUACGUG